rnacentral:rRNA from 1 species
CUAAGGCACGAAAGCGUGGGGAGCGAACGGGAUUAGAUACCCCGGUAGUCCACGCCGUAAACUAUGGAUGCUAGCUGUUAGAGGUAUCGACCCCUCUAGUAGCGAAGCUAACGCGUUAAGCAUCCCGCCUGUGGAGUACGGUCGCAAGACUAAAACAUAAAGGAAUUGACGGGGACCCGCACAAGCGGUGGAGCGUGUUGCUUAAUUCGAUGGUAAGCGAAGAACCUUACCCAGGCUUGACAUCCUGUGAAGGUCUCCGAAAGGAGACUGUGCCUUCGGGAAUACAGUGACAGGUGUUGCAUGGCCGUCGUCAGCUCGUGUCGUGAGAUGUUUGGUUAAGUCCAUCAACGAGCGCAACCCUUAUAGUUAGUUGGAUUUUUCUAGCUAGACUGCCCCGGCAACGGGGAGGAAGGAGGGGAUGAUGUCAGGUCAGUAUUACCCUUACACCUUGGGCUACAAACACGCUACAAUGGCCGGUACAAAGGGCUGCUAAGUCGCGAGACGGAGCAAAUCUCAUCAAAGCCGGUCUCAGUUCGG